rnacentral:lncRNA from 1 species
GAAUGAAACAAUGAACACAUGAAGUUUCCAUUUAUUCUGGGAUGAGUUAGAAUGAGCAUUCAGGCCAAGAAGGCUUGCUGGUGUGUGGCCCAUAAUUGUGUCCAGAAGUCUCUGGAUAGGCUUGCAAAGGGCAGCGUGGGGCUCACACCCGCAGACUGAAUCCUAAGGCUGAGCCCAGCGGCAAAAAGCCAGACCUGGGGGACCAGGUCAGUACUGAAGGGUGGGACGGGCCUUGCCAACUGCACAAGAAUGAUCAGUGGCCAGAGGGACAGUGCACAUUCCCUUGCCAGAGUGGAAGCAACUGGGCAUCGACUUCCAGGUCAGACUGGAUCCCAGCCCAUCGGGACAACCAGGACCCUAGUGAUUCUGCUCAAUGGACAAAGGUGGAAAUCUUGUAUCUGCAUCCCAUUAUUACUGUUUAGAGCACCCCCCUUUGGUCCUCGGUCUUAACCACCCCACACCUUCCCGUGGGAUCAGCUGAAAUUCCCUGCAAGGCUCUUCCCAUCAUCUCAGCCCACCAUGCAUGUGUCCAGGUGUUCCCUCAGUCAUGAGGUCUUUCCCCCUUCCUCCCUCCAAAGGCAUCCUGAGCCCUCUGGGAUAGUGUCCAGUCCUGGGUCACUGACCCUCGUGCGCCUAUCCACCAAGUAAGUACCCUACCCUAAUCCACUUGCUGAGCAUGUGGGCCACUGGCUCUUCCUGCUGACAUUCCUGGCAAGCUCUGCUGGUGACUGAAUGACACAGGACACCCUCCUCUGGCAGCAUAUGGGCUGAGGCAUCCCUCUGUUGCCCACUGUGUCCCUGGCCAAGGAGGACCUGGAGAAGCAUCUCAGCGAGAACUUCCUCCAAGCUGGCUUCCUGAGCUUGGAGGGCAACAGGCCUGGAGAGACCUUGGUCAGCUCUGAAUGAAUGACAUGCCAGCACCCAGGUCUUCUUCAUGCUUAUGGUGGCGGCCACAAUCUGAACCCAGUUGCCUGGAAUGGCAGGUCCUGAGGGCUGAGAUACUGUCACUGGCCAAAUGCAUAACACUGCCAUUAGCACCAACGAAGUCCUCAAGCAGUAAGGGUGCCGAGGGAUGUGUGCUCAUGAGCUGUUGCCUUGGGACAGGUACCCGCCAUGGUGAUCCUGGCAGUGGUCAACAAACUCCCAGGGCUGUGCCACCAGCAUGGGAUAAAGCCUUCACUCAACCCUUUCAGUGAGCUGAAUUGUGCUCCUGCAAAAAUGUACAUCCAAGUCUUAACUGCCGACACACCCAUGAAUGUGAAGGAUGUUGGGAUGCACUCUCCCUGGAUUAGCGUGGAGCUGAAAUCCAAUGACUUGGUUCCUUAGAAGAAAGGAGUAGAUCUGAGACACAGGCUCACGGGGAGGUCACAUGAAGGAGGUGGCUCCUAGAGUGAUGCUGUCACGAGGCUCAAGUUACCAGAAGCUGGAAGAAACAAGGAAAGAUUCUCCUUCUCAGAUACUGCUCUGUUCUUGGCAAUGAAUGUCAAUCAGAUCAACAAAGCUUGUCUUGGCUUUGGGAGCGCUCAGGCCAGGUUCAAGGAUUCAGACAGGCAUCCACAUGAGACAAGCAACCCAAACAAACCCUUUUUCACAAGAGGAACAUGGCACCAAGUCAUUCAUAACUCCCUGAGGCCUCCACAUCAAGAUGGCCUGGGAGUUCUCCACUGCCUUCCUCAAGAUUCCUGCCCUUGUGAAGGUCUACAUUCAGAAAACUUCAAUGUGGUGGCAGUCACUGCUUCAGAAAUGGACAGUGAGAGACCUGUGCUGAGCAGACAAGCCCAUGGUUUGAAGGUGUUUGGCAGGCAGGGCAGGGUGUUCUUCCUCAUGGGUUUCUUCUGAGUGGAAUACGAGAUCCCAUGUAACUGGGGUGCUGGCCCCAGCCAAACUUGGAAU